rnacentral:lncRNA from 1 species
UAUGUCAGAGGAGCAAGGAAAAGAGUCUACCUAUGAGAUGAGUCUCUCAGAGAAACAGAGUGUACGAUCAGGCUCACAUGUGUUCAGCUCUGUGUCUAUGAAGAGUGAUCAGUCAAAAGAUCAACCACCGACAUUUAGUGAGAAAAAAACAUCUACCAAAAGCAUUCAGUACGAGACAUUAGGUUUAGGCAUCCAGACUCACAGGAACCAUGAGAAUUUCAAAGAAAAUCUCCUGUGGAUCUUCCAGGUAGGAAAGACACAUUCUCAAAAACGGUAAUAUUUAUAGCAUAAUAAAUAUUUAUUGAAUUAUGGUUACCUCUGCUUCUUUUCUCUCUUGUAGGUUAACAAUGUUACAUGACUUCUUGUGAUCCUUUGCUUCUUUAACAUAGCGCUUGAGUCUGGCCACAGCUUUAAUCAUUCUCAACCAGUCGGAAAACUUCUGAAGCCGAUCUAACAAUGACCUUUGUUCUUCUACUUGUAUCGUGUGGACUUGAACUUUCCUGACCUCUGGGUCACUGUUCGAUAACUCUCCCACCUUAAGUACACUACUGGUUAUGACCUUCUGCCAGAGAAGAUCUGGGCCCUUGAACCAGUUUGAAGCUACAAGUUGUUCUGCUGUAAGGCCUCUUGAGGCGUGGUCUGCCGGAUUGUCUUUGGAAGUUACAUACCACCAUUGUGUUGACUCUGUACCUUGUUUGAUGCGUUCGACACGGUUUGCAACAAACACGUGAAACCUUCUGGCCUCAUUACUGAUAUAGCCGAGCACCACUUUAGAGUCAGUCCAGUACCUUUCUUCUGAGAUUUCUAUUUCAAAUUCCUUUUUUAGCAUGUCACCGGUGCGAACAGCAACAACGGCCGCUGACAACUCUAGACGUGGUAUAGUUGUGACCUUGGAUGGUGGAACUCUCGAUCUUCCCAUCACCAAGGUGCAGUAAACUUCACCAGAUGUGCUUACCGCUCUCAGGUAGGUGCACAUGCCAUAUCCAGAUGCACUUGCAUCAGAAAAAUGAUGCAGUUCGUAGUGUUGUGCCUUGAAGUUUGAAGGAAUGUAGCAUCUGCAAAUCUAUACAUCUGCCAGGUUUCCCAGGUCCCGGAGCCAAGACUCCCACCGAGGUCGAAGACUGUCAGGUAAGCUAUCAUCCCAGCUGAGCUUAUCUCGGCACAUUUGUUGCAAGAUUUGCUUUCCUAGCAAAAUGAAAGGCGACACAAACCCAAAUGGAUCGAACACAGAGGCGACUGUGGAUAAUACUCCUCUUCGGGUGAGUGGAUUUUCCUAAACAACCACUCGGAACUGGAAUUGGUCUGAUUCCAGCCUGCAGAGCUUGCGUGCUUCAUUGACAAACUGUAUUGCUUGCUCUUCAGUGUCGACACUUCCUAGUCCAUCAUCGACAUAGAAGUUAGUUUUGAUGAACUUGAUGGUUUCUUCAUCAAAACUUCCUUCUCCUUCAGCUGCGAGGUGUUUAAGGCCAUAGUUUGCGCAACCUGGAGAGGACGCUGCGCCGAAUAAGUGUACUUUCAUUCGGUAGACAGUGAAUGGAGUUUCGAGGUCUCCGUGCUCCCACCACAAGAACCGUAGGUAAUCUUGAUCGCAAGCAUUCACAUGAAACUGGUGGAACAUGCGUUCAAUAUCACACAUGAAAGCCACUGGGCCUCUUCGGAAGCGACACAAGACUCCAAG